rnacentral:rRNA from 1 species
GACGUAGGGCGCGAGCGUUGUCCGGAUUUAUUGGGCGUAAAGAGCUCGUAGGCGGUUUGUCGCGUCUGCUGUGAAUCUGGAGGCUCAACCUCCAGCCUGCAGUGGGUACGGGCAGACUAGAGUGCGGUAGGGGAGAAUGGAAUUCCUGGUGUAGCGGUGGAAUGCGCAGAUAUCAGGAGGAACACCGAUGGCGAAGGCAGUUCGUCUGGGCCGUAACUGACGCUGAGGAGACGAAAGCGUGGGGAGCGAACAGG